rnacentral:rRNA from 1 species
UACGUAGGGCGCAAGCGUUGUCCGGAAUUAUUGGGCGUAAAGAGCUCGUAGGCGGCUUGUCACGUCGGAUGUGAAAGCCCGAGGCUUAACCUCGGGUCUGCAUUCGAUACGGGCAGACUAGAGUUCGGUAGGGGAGUCUGGAAUUCCUGGUGUAGCGGUGAAAUGCGCAGAUAUCAGGAGGAACACCGGUGGCGAAGGCGGGACUCUGGGCCGAUACUGACGCUGAGGAGCGAAAGCGUGGGGAGCGAACAGG